rnacentral:rRNA from 1 species
GACAGAGGGUGCAAACGUUGUUCGGAAUUACUGGGCGUGAAGCGCGUGUAGGCGGCUAUGUAAGUCGGGCGUGAAAUCCCACGGCUCAACCGUGGAAGUGCACCCGAAACUGCGUAGCUAGAGUCCUGGAGAGGAAGGUGGAAUGCUUGGUGUAGAGGUGAAAUUCGUAGAUAUCAAGCGGAACACCGGUGGCGAAGGCGGCCUUCUGGACAGUGACUGACGCUGAGACGCGAAAGCGUGGGGAGCAAACAGG